GCACGUAGUUAGCCGGCGCUUCUUCUGCAGGUACAGUCACUUGCGCUUCGUCCCUGCUGAAAGAGGUUUACAACCCGAAGGCCGUCAUCCCUCACGCGGCGUCGCUGCAUCAGGCUUGCGCCCAUUGUGCAAUAUUCCCCACUGCUGCCUCCCGUAGGAGUCUGGGCCGUGUCUCAGUCCCAGUGUGGCCGGUCACCCUCUCAGGCCGGCUACCCGUCGUCGCCUUGGUGGGCCAUCACCCCACCAACGAGCUGAUAGGCCGCGGGCCCAUCCCUAGCCGCCGGAACUUUCCACCACCGGAGGAUGCCCUCGGUGGUCGUAUCCGGUAUUAGCCCCGGUUUCCCGGGGUUAUCCCAGUGCUAGGGGCAGGUUGCCCACGUGUUACUCACCCGUUCGCCGCUGAUCCACCCCCGAAGGGGCUUCACCGCUCGACUUGCAUGUGUGAAGCACGCCGCCAGCGUUCGUC
rnacentral:rRNA from 1 species